AUAACCUCGGGAAACUGAGGAUAAUGUUUCAUAAUUGAAUUGGCUUGGAAAAGUUUUUCAAUGAAAAGGAUAAAAAUAAUGGUUUUUAUCUGCUAUAGGAUAGGAUCGUGUUCGAUUAUGGUUGUUGGUGAGAUAAUGGCUCACCAAGCCGAUAAUCGAUAGGGGCCGUGAGAGCGGGAGCCCCGAGAUGGGCACUGAGACAACGACCCAGGCCUUACGAGGCGCAGCAGGCGCGGAACCUCCGCAAUACACGAAAGUGUGACGGGGUUACCCAAAGUGUUCAAUAGAACUGUGGUAGGUGAGUAAUGUCCCCUACUAGAAAGGAGAGGGCAAGGCUGGUGCCAGCCGCCGCGGUAAAACCAGCUCUUCAAGUGGUCGGGAUAAUUAUUGGGCUUAAAGUGUCCGUAGCCGGUUUAGUAAGUUCCUGGUAAAAUCGGGUAGCUUAACUAUCUGCAUGCUAGGAAUACUGCUAUACUAGAGGGCGGGAGAGGUCUGAGGUACUACAGGGGUAGGGGUGAAAUCUUAUAAUCCUUGUAGGACCACCAGUGGCGAAGGCGUCAGACUGGAACGCGCCUGACGGUGAGGGACGAAAGCCAGGGGAGCGAACCGGAUUAGAUACCCGGGUAGUCCUGGCCGUAAACGAUGCAUACUAGGUGAUGGUACGGCCAUGAGCCGUAUCAGUGCCGUAGGGAAACCGCUAAGUGUGCCGCCUGGGAAGUACGGUCGCAAGGCUAAAACUUAAAGGAAUUGGCGGGGGAGCACCACAAGGGGUGAAGCCUGCGGUUCAAUUGGAGUCAACGCCGGGAA
rnacentral:rRNA from 1 species